AGAGAAGAUGGUUGCUGCUUUGGAACUGUUUGGAAUUCAAAUCUCAGCAAAUGUAUAGAAUGCUCCAUUGGCUUCUGGGGAGAGAGCUGUGUGCAAAAAUGCAAAUAUCCUAUUAUGGCAUGAAAUGCCAUAAAAAGUGCAACUGUAAAGAAAUCAUGUGCAAUUAUGGUACUGGAUGUGUAGUGCAAGAGAUUGGAAAAUCACAAGAAAUGUCCACAACACCCCAUCAUAUGAUCAUUUCCUCUGAAUACCAAAUGACUUUUCG